ACAAAGAAGAGUUUGAUCCUGGCUCAGGAUGAACGCUAGCGAUAGGCUUAACACAUGCAAGUCGAGGGGCAGCAUAAAGUCAGCUUGCUGAUUUGGAUGGCGACCGGCGGAUGGGUGCGUAACGCGUAUGCAACUUACCUGUCAGAGGGGGAUAACCCGGAGAAAUUCGGACUAAUACCGCAUACACUUGAGAUGCUGCAUG
rnacentral:ncRNA from 1 species